ACCCACCCGCGCGCCUAGGCACUGACGUCACCGGCGCUCACGAGGCCGAGCCACCGCCCUAGGAGUCACGCGCUGCCCCCACCCCACCCCACCCAAGGCCGCAGGCGCCUGGGGUGUGAUGCGCCCUCCGCAGAGAUCUCUCCGCCGCCGCCUGGAAUUUUCCAGACGCUCUGCCGGCCCUUCUUUCAGACUUCCCGGGGUGGAAUGACCUGAAGCGACCCCCGCAGUUUUCCUUCGCCCACUCGGGAGGACGGAUCAACCCAUCUUCCCAACCCCCCCCCCUUUCUCUCAGGGAACAGGGUGCCUCCCCACCCCCGGCACCAAGACCAGGAGAGAAGACCUCUCCACCCCCCGUUAGAAUCCGUCUCCCAAAUAUGACCUUGAGGUCUGUCCUCAAUCUCUGGAAGCACUGCUAAGCGAAGCAGGAAUAAUCGGGGAAUGUAAGAGGGCGGACACCCCGGGAAGACGGAACCACCGCGCGUCCUGUCCUUGGGCAGGGUCAGGGAGGGACUCUUUUUCCGGUGGCAGUGGAGGAAUCGUCCCGUUGAGCAAUGUCCUGGUGACGCGGCCCAGGGCUAUAAAAGCCAAAGUUGUGGCCUAUCCCGCAGUUAGCUAUAGGGAGGCCUGCGGGUCUGGGUUUAGUUGUGGGGGAGGAGUGGCCAGAUAGGGCUUCUCGGGACAGAUGGGGGAGAUGGCAGAGUUAGAUGAGACUGAGUGGGGGUGCCAAGAGAAAGGUUAAUGGGGAGACUAGAUCUUUGGGAAACUGCUGGGGAGAGCUGUGUCCGAGGUACCCGCAGUAACCCAGGGGGAGGACAACACUCCAGGCCUGACUGUUGCUGCUGCCUGUUGGAGAAGGGGAAUUUGACCUCUGGGAGGGGGCCGCUCAGCCUAAGCAGGAGCGGCCCCCAGUGCCCUGGUUGGUGUGGAAGAAGGAAGACGGAGACAGGAAGUGGAGGAGACUGAGGGUCUUGUCAUCCUAGCUGGAGGCGUAACUGAACAAUCGGUUCCCGGAAAAUGAACAGGAAGGAAGGCAGUAGGGUGCAGGGCCGCCGCAGGUGGGCUGGGAGGGCGGAACUUGAACUUGUAAAUACCAGCAGCCUCCUUUUUUUCCAGACAAAGGGUUGUGAGCCCGCCUGGGGAUGAGGCCUGGUGUUGUGGAAACUGAACUUAGCUUCGCGGGGCUGACAGCUCUGGCCCAGGGCGGUAUGUAAUUCUGGCUCGGCCCAGGACAGGGUCCAGCCAGGCCCAGCCUGGUGGAACCCAGGUCUGGGUAUGAGGCCAGACCUCUGGUCGGAGGUGAGGGUGGUCUAGGGAGUGAUCAGGAGGUAAGGUGAGUAAUUAGUGUGGCGCCUCACGUGUUUAACAGGCGGGGGCUGUAGGCGAACAAAAUUGACCCACACUUUAUUUUCCAGGUGGCAGUGCUUCCCUUUGGACUUUUCCUCUAGGUUCCGUGCUAACCUCUUCUGUGAGCUCACUCUGCCCCUCCUCCCUUUAAUUCUCUCGAGGUUAUCCAUUCGCUUAAAACAUUGCUUUUGGUAAUCUGGUAAGCCUGGGAAAGCUGCUGAAGUCCCUGUCAGAGUCGGUAUUGUUGGUAAUCCUGAAGGAGGAAAGGCAUCCCCUGCUGAGACUUUGGGUGGGCGGGUUGGUGUUGCUUCCCCGUGGAGAGGGUGGGGAUUGAAUGUGCACCCUUGGGUGGGCCCGCAGCCAUUGUACCAGCUGAAAGCUACGAAAAUGCCUCAUAGACCGUGGUUUGUUACUAUAGUGUUCAUCAUGGCGAUCAGAUGGCAUCGGGAGAAAUGGAGCCCCUGGCCAGUGUGAGUCGUAUCAGAGCAGGAGGGGAGACCCUGGAGGAGAGAGCCCGCCUAAAUUGAUGUCUGCAGAUUGAAUUUCCAGAGGCUUAGGAAGAGGAAGUUCUCCAGUGUCAUGGUUCCAGGCCUUGCUCAGGAAACCCUUUAUUCAGGAGCCUUUAAGGUUUUCAGACGAGCUUAUGAAGGGGCAAUCUUUAAAAAAAAAAGCCCAAAUGAGGUGCAUCCGGGGCCAUCAGCAAAUGUGUUGCUUUGAAUGUUUGAUCCGGGAGCAACAACCUAUGGGCACGUCAAAGCCAGCAGGCAUCCCUCCUGGGGUGGUUUUCAGAUGCUGCAUCUUCUAAAUUGAGCCUCCUGUCAUACUACUAGUUUUGUGCUACAAACUUUGCUUCCAGAAGAUUCUUAAGCUGUAGAACAUUUUAACGCUGAUGCUGCAAUGCAGUGAUGCCUUGUAGAUGGAGCUUGCAGAUGGAGCCCAGUGACCCUCUCGCCUGCCUGCCUGCCUGCCUGCCUGUACAUUGGUUGGAGGAAUUCUUAGUGUGAUGAUAAAACCUGUGUGUUGGGAAGUGUUUGAGUUUGAAACGUCUUAGGCCAAUUUUUUGAUGAAACAGACUGGCAAAUUGAAGGGGUCAUUGUGUUGUGCUACGGUCUGGGAGGGUACAAGUUGGUCAUGCCCAGAUUGUGAUAGAAAUGGCAGGUCUAGCUUCUGCAUUAGAUUGCAGAUUACUAGGAAAAGGGAAUGGUCAAAGUACUGAUAGUGAUCUUUGAUUCUUCUUGUGCCUAAGUGCUUUUUAGGUUGGAUUUUACAUAAUUAGAUUUCAAAGUAAUCUUAGUGUUCAAGUGGGAGGGCUUUGGUGAGGGUGUGUUGGGGGAGGAAACAGCUUGGCGCUGUUUCUGCUGGGAGGGGCUGGGGUGAAUAAAGGGAGAGGGUUGUGGUUGGGUUUCGGGGGGGGGGGUGUGGGGGGAUUGGUGGGGAAUUACCAGUACACAGAGCUCUGGAGAAUUGAAUAGAGCUCAAUGGGCAGAGGAAAUAACUAGCUGUAAAUUGUUAAUGCUAGUUAAAGUGUUGCUUGGAUACACAGGUUGCUUGGGAAUUUUCUAAAAUGCUUAGUACUCUGCUAAGUACAGGGAGAAAAAGCAAAAUUGUUUUGCUUUGCGGCAAGAUGGGGAAGUCUGAGAAGGUAACUGAAAACCUGAGUAUCAGUCACUUGAAAGAUUGGUGUCAGAAACUUACAUCAGCAAGUUAACAGCCUUCACUGCUUUGCAGUCUUAAGUGGUUUAUCUGAAGCUUGGAAGGUAUGCAAUAUUCAGGAGCAGUCUUGAAAAAGACACUAAAUACCCAAAUUGUGGGCUUUAAAGUAUUUAAAUUUAAGGUUUUUGCUGUGCGCUUGAGAUUAAAUGUACUUUUCUGGGUUUUACAGUUGAAAUUUAGCAAAGUGAAAAUUCAAUGAUUUCUAAAGGGAUUUUGUAUUUAAUCCAUCUUGUCUUUGUGAUGGGUAUUAGUAACAGAAGUUUUUACUAUUAGCUUUUCAUUGUCAUUGUAACAAGGAGAACCUGGUAAUUUUGAUCACUGUAAAUUUACUGUAAUAUUUGAUAACAAACAAUCCAUGUACCCUUGCUAAGGUUACAGUUAAUCCACUGUAUCUUUAAUUUGAAUGUUUGUGCUUUUUAAGUGACCUGGUACUAAAGGGGGAACUAUCAACCAAAAUCAGUUUGGGAAAUAAGAGCAACACUGGGGGUGAGGAGGUGCUUUACUAAUAUGUUCCGUAGAAAUUCAGGGAAAGAUCUGAAAACCCUUUAUGAUACUUGUUUCUGAGGUGCGCCUGUUGAAGGAAUCCCAGUGGCUAUUUAUCACAUCCCUCUUCCCCUUAAAUUUUAAUGUGAACAUUUUAAAGGCCCAGUAGUUUUUGCCCUUGGGAUUUUUCUGUUUUCUGGGUUCUUUUUAAUGUUUAAAAAAAUAAUGUUGACAUAAGUUCUCAACUGGUGACUUGGGCAUGAUAUAAUUACUGUCAUUGGAAUUUAAAGGACAUGAGUCAUGCAUGUAUGGGGAAAUAGUUCUGGUAUGCUGUUGUGAAAUUGAAACUGUAAAAGUAGGUGAGACACAAACGUGUGUUGCUCUGUAUGAUUGGAACCAGUCCUGUUGCAUCAUGUACACAAUUACUAAUCGUUUUUCUUCCCCUUUCCAGCACAAAUAAAGGUUUGAGUUCUAAACUCAUUAGAAUUGUUUGUAUUGCUAUGUUAUAUUUUUCAUAUUUGCGUAUUUCAUUUGCUUUCAUAAUGAAGUUGAAUGUAUCUUCAUAUUGUAGAUUUUAGGUCUAGUUUCACUCUUCAGUAGCUCCAAAUUGAGGCCAUUCAGUGGUAUGGUGACCUCAAACAGAACUGGUAUAUCCUGAAUGGUUUGCAACCUGGUAGGUGGGGAGGAAGCUCUGCUCACUGGGAGUUCAUGAUGGUUGUGCAAAUUGUGAUGUCAAACCACUGAGCAAAUGGUUAGUGUCAAGGUGGGGGAGUACUUUGUAAUAUCCUGGAACUUUACAUGGUUCUGUUUCCAAAUGGCAUUGUUUUUUAUUCCUGUUUGCUUGGAGGAAACAAUCUAAGGAGUAUAGCAGACAUGUAAUGUGUAUUUGACUUGUUUAUGAUCUUUGGGAGGCUGGAAUGUAUCUGGGAUUUGGGUUUAAGCACACAGUUCUCUAAAUUUACUAAAGAAUUUGACUUUGGCUUAAGUUUUUUUCUUUUGGUGAGUAACAAAAGAGUUUGGGCCCAAUUGCGUAAGUCCUGUGCUAAGCAGGCAAAGGAUGCGAGUGGAAGCACUUGGAAUCCAGAGUAUGAGUUAUGACUCCAAAUUUGUGUCCUGGGUUGGGGUGGGAGUGGGUGGGGAGAAGGCCCAGCAGUGUUUAUCCUGGGAGCUCAUUCUUGUACUGAGCUUCUGUGUUAAUUCUUUGAGGCCAGAAGGUUUUGCUUCACAGGAGGCAAACUUUGGGUUCAGAAUGGAAACCUUUGCCAGCCUCUGCUCAGGAGGGUUUUGUUUCCAAGGGAGUGGAAAGGGGAGAUUUCCGGGGAAGGGGACAUGAGACCUGAAGUAAGACAGGCCAAAUGCUAUGACCAAAACCAAGGGGUGGGAGAGCGUGACCUAAAUUCCCCCGAGAGCAGCUCGGGAACUGGCUGCUGUCCUCGCUGGAUGUGUUCUAUUUGCUUGGUCUCCUGGGUUCUCAUGAACCUUCGCGUGUUUGCUACUGAGAAACCAGAGUUAGGUGCCUGCCAGCAAGCUGCCUUUCUGGGGCUCACGGCUCUGCCGAGAGUGGACAUCACGUGUGCAGGUCGAGGAGCCUUUCCUGCCACCACCCCAGUCCUUGGUUCCCCCAGGACACUCUAGGCUUCCUUUCCUACAUCACCCUUCUUGCUUUUUGCCCAGCCGUCCUUCGCCAGCCUUGCCUUCUUUGCAGAACUUGUUUCUUUUGUUUUUAUACGGUGAUGACUAAACUUUUGCUUCUAACCUUGAGGGUAACUGCGAUAAAUGCCUCUGUACUGUUUCCUAGCGACUGUGGUGGGCUAGUAAAAGAUUUCUCCUUUGUAAGGGGUUGUAAUGUGAGGCCUAUUAAUACCCAAGCAAAGCAGGCAGCUGAAGGCAAUGCUCAUGGCCUCCCGGCCUCUGCUCAAUCCAGGGCCCCUGCCUGUUCUUUACCCUCAGUUAUCCUCAGGUCAGGUGGGAUGGGUGGAAGGUGUUGAUGACAGCCUUGGUGGUCUCUGAAUCAGUUUGCAUCAUAGUGAAUAGAUCUGAAUUCAGCCUUUCUCCUGAUCUCCCAGAGGCAGUAGAUGAUACGAUCAGAUGCAGUGACUAAGCUUGUGGCAAUUAGGUAGAAAAAUGGUGAUCUGGCGCAAAUUAAAAGUAAUGGGGCAAGAGUUGAAUUUGGAAGUUCUUUUGGAAAGGAAUAGCCUGAAAGGAAGUAUUGGCUAAGGGUCCUCUGUGUGCCCAGGUUGGACACACUGAAAACUGCAGAAAUGGCGUGUGUCACAAAAGAGAUGGUAACUGCCCACACCCCACCCCCAGCUCCACCCUACCGGCUGCCCUUGGUCUGUUUUAACUGACCAUGGCCUUGAAGGGACACUUAUGCAGGAACUAACCUCUCUGUGUGUACUUAAGUUCCUAGAGGAAAUGUUAACCUCUGGCCUUGAGCAGUAUUGCUUAUUGUGAGAUGCUGAUAUUAAAUGAAAUGCCAAAACAGGCUUCAGAUAUUUGUGGUAUGUUUCAAAUGUUUAUAUUGAACACAAAAAUAUACUGUUGUAGUCUGGAAAUGGCAAGAGGUAGAUAGCAAAAUAACCAAAAAUAAGAAAGACGUUAAGAUGUGUCCCAGGGAAUAUGGCCUUGACUCUGAGGAUUCCAUCUCUACCACCUGGUCUGCUGGGUAGGACUGCCCUCCAAGGCCCCUCAGCUGUGCACUGCCUUCCCUCUCUUUCAGAUAACUCUUAGCUGAGUUCUCAUGUUGUGAAAAAGAUUUGUUGUAAGGUUUACAAAUAAGAAAAUUGACAAAAUCCUCAGUAAUCUUCCGUUGACAGUUGUUAUUGGUAUAUUUGUGUUCUACAGUUUUUUUCCCUUAUGCACAGAAUGUAUGCCUUUUUAAACAAAAAUGAAAUUACACUGUAAGUUCUGUUUUAUAACUUUUCACUUAACAUACAGUGAACAUUUUCCUGUUGCUAGAAGGAUCUUUUGUAGUGGUAACAUAAUGUUCCAUUGCAUGGUUGUAUCAAUUUAAACAAUCUCGUUUAGAGGACAUACAUUUUCCAUUUGUUUUUUUCUCUUAAGAAGUAAUGCGGUGAAUACCCUUUCUUGUAACUCAAAUUUUAUCACAUGCAGUAUUAUUUCUUUGGGAUACAUGGAUACAUUUCUACAUGUGACUUGCCUUAAGACUUUAGGUUCCUAUUGCUAAAUUGCCCUCCUGGGGGGGAAUUUUCUAAAUUAGCGUUCUCACUAUCGAUGUAGACCUAGCUCUGUCUCCCCUUUUGCUCAGAGUGGGUAUCACACUAAAAUCCUCGCUCCCUGGGUGGCUCCAGGCUGCUUUACCCGUGGCUGUGAGCACUGCCACACCAAGCAUUGUGUUGAUUGACCAUCUGCAGUAUUGUAUACGUGUGCAUGCGUGACUCUCCACUUCUUAAGGGUUCAUUUCUCUAUUGAUUGUUUUGUAAAAAUACAUAUUAAUGUAUUAAUGAUGCUUCGUUGUAUUUGAUGCAAAUAUUUUCCCCAGUUUGUAGAUUGCCUUUUUGUUUAUUUUGUUUCAAACAUAAAAAUGUUAGUUUUUCUGAGGUUGUCACUUUUUUUUUUUUUUUUUACUUUUCUGAAUAUCAAGGUUUAUUACCUAAGGUAAAAUACUGGUUUAGGCUUUACUUGGGUCAAUAUUUACCUUGUGUGGCUCUGUUGCAUGGCUGUCACCACAAAAAUGUUUUUUAACCUCAUGUUAACACACAGCUGUCAGAGAAGCUUGAAUUCUCUCUUUGGAGUUUGCAUAUGGGUACUCAGUAGAUUCGGUUAAUUGCAGCACAAAGUUAGGAAACCAUGCAGGAGUCUGUGAGCUCAGAUUUCUUGUGCUCCAGAGGGCGAGGUUGUCACUCUUUGUGGUUUCUCUACUCUGUUACGCUUAGAUAUGUCCCACCUGAAAAGUAUAUAAGUAUUAAUGUGUGUUACUUUGUGACACUUGUAUGGUUUCAUUUUUUACAUUUGAACAUACAACCCAACUGGUUUACUGUGCAGCCUGUCGAUGUGUAUGUAGUAGGGGAGGGCCCACGAGCUUUCUCCCUCCCACACCCACUCCCUGUGGCCAGAUGAUGGGGUAGCAGAGAGCCCUGUCCCCUGACAGCUGGGCAGGUUGUUGUCACAACCAGACAGUUCACUGAAGACCUGGGGGGCAGAUGGCUGUUGUCUCCUGAUGGGAUCUCGGUUGCCCCUCCUCCAUGACUCCCCUUUCCUCUGUCUUAACUGAGACCCAUGACAGCCCUGGGCGGGGGCGGGGCGGUCAGAAGCAGGGGCAGAUGGACAGAUCAGCUUCUGCUCCUGACUUGGGAGCUUUAUGACUGGGAACAAAGUACUGAGUCUUACUGAGCCUGUUAUCCUGUGAAAUGGGGGUAAAUGGAUGUGUGCAUUUGGCACACGGCUACUUUUCAUUGAGUGCUUACGGUGAUUCCAUUCUCGAGUCACCUGCCUGCCUUGCUCUGGGCCUUUUACAUGUAAUCAGUUUGCUUGUUCUGGUCUGUUCUGGUUUUACAUUUGAUUUUGUUUCCAUUCACAUUUCCCUAUAUCAGCAGAGCCCAGAAACGCUGGCAGUGGCUUUUUCUCAGGGUUAAUUCUCCCACAGGAAGUCCAUGAAGGGCUUCUACAGGUCCUGCGAGUACGGGAAACUGUACAUGUGUAUUUCUCUGUGGAAAGCACAAGCUUGCUGAAGGGGUCCAUAACCUCAAAAAAUACCACAAAUGAAAAAUUGCAUUAUUUUAUCCCAUUGUGCUUAUUCUAUAGGCUGUUUAGCCGAUCUCUUGAGUUGUAAAUUGUGUUUGGACUAUUUUCAAUUGUGCUGCUGUGAACAUCUCUCUAAAUUUUGUGUAAAUAUAUAAAUAUGUAUUGGUGCAAAUAUAUACAUACGUAUCUAUUUCCUAGGGUAGCAUCUUCUGGUCACUGAGCAUGCAUGGUUUUAUAACUCUUGUCCAAGACUUACUCUCCAGAAACCUUACACUUCCUCUUGUGAGUAUAUCCAUUUCCCUUCAUAAUUGCUAAUAUCAGGUUUUUCUAUUUUUUUAAUUUAAUUUUUUAUUGAAGUAUAGUCAGUAAAUAAAAUUUACUGUUACUUCCUAAAAAAUUUGUGAUAAAAUAUGCAUAACAUAAGUUUUACCAUCUUAACCACUGUAACGUGUACAUUUCAGAAGUGUUUGGUUAUAUUUAUAGCAUCUCCAGAACUUUCUCAUCUUGAAAAUUGAAACUCUAUACCCACUGAAUUCCUCAUUCCUUUAUCCCCCAGCCCUUGGCAAUCACCACCUAUUUCUUUGUUUCUAUGAGUCUGACAACUCUCGGUACCUCAUAAUAAACGGAAUCAUACAGUAUUGUCUUUUUGUGACUGGCUUGUUUUACCUAAUGUAUGUCCUCUGGGUUCAUCUGUGUGAUAGUGUGUGCCAAGAUGUUUUUCCUUUGUAAAAAAGUAUUUUGUUGUAUAUAUGUACCACAUCUUGUUUAUCCAUUCAUCUAUCAGUGAACACUUGGGUUGCUCCCACUUUUUAGUUAAUGUGGAUAAUGCUAUUAUGAACACGGGUGCACAAAUACCUUUUUGAGGCACCGCUUUCAAUUCUUUUGGAUAUAUACCCAGAAAUGGUAUUGUGCAUCAAAGGGUAUUUCUAUUUUUAAUUUUGGGGGGAACUGCCAUACUGUUUUCCAUAGCAGCUGCACCAUUUUAUACUUCCACCAAUAGUUUACAAGGGCUCCAGCUUUCCACUCUUCACCAAUGCUUUUAUUGUUUUUUUAUAGCAGCCAUCCUAAUGGGUAUGAAAUCAUAUUUCAUUGUGGUUUUGAUUUGCAUUUCUCAUUCCAUAGGUUGCCUUUUUACUGUUGAUUGUGCCCUUUGAUAUACAGAAGUCUUUAAUUUUGAUGUAGUUCAAUUUAUCUAUUUUUACUUUUGUUACCUGUGCUUUUGGUGUCAUACCCAAGAAAUUAUUGCCAAAUUCAAUGUUAUAAAGUAUUUUUUAAAGUGCUUUAGUAGUCAGUCUGUAUUUCUGUGAUUACUUUCUAGUCUGUUUUACCAUUUGAUUUACCAUCUGCAUUUUUCCUCUCUGACCAUUUACCAUAUAAAGUUUCUGUUAAUUUUUAUAACCAUCAUGAAUUCUUUAUAUAGUUGGGAAGGUAAACUUCUGCCAGUGUUGUCAAACUUACUCAUUUUUCCUUUUAUUGUUGUACACAAAAAGUAUCUAUUAUACAAAGACUUAAUAAUUUUGGUCUAAUAAGUCUAAUAAUAACAACUAAUAAGACUUGGGUUUACAUCUGAUAAUUUUUUUUAGUAGCUAAGUAUGUAUGUGCUCCCACAUUACAAUGAAUGCUCUUCUCCAUUUAAGGAGCUAUGAGUCCAACCUAGGAGUGGAUCUAAAUUAUUUACACUGAUAAAGUUGAAACACCAGCUGCUGAAUAAAUACUGUCAUUGCUCUUUUUUUCUAGGUCUGUCAAUAUUAGCUUCUUAUAAUUUAUCUGCCUGAAUCUCUUUCUGCAGUUUUUAAUCUGUAGUUUUUGUUGUUUCUAAUCAAAUAACAACAAAUUUUAAUGACAGUCACUGUUCAUUAUGCUAUGAAAUCUAGUAAGUGGAAACUAUGAUACUCCUCUCAAGGCAAGAAUAUUCUCUCUCCUUGUUGGAACUUUAGACACAGAACUGGGUUAAUCUUUGGUUCAAGACAUAACAUGCCUCUCUUCUUUUUGGUUCCUUGAUGUUUUAAUAAUGCGAGCAUUUCUGAAUCUUUGCUCAGUGUAAAAACUAGGAAUUGAGACAGUAACUUCCUCUACCUAUGUGGCCGUCUCCCCCCAUCUUCCUCCCUGUCUCCCUCUAGGCCGAAGUAAUCAUGAUCCUGAAGAGUAGGUUUAUCUUUUACUUGGUUUUUUUUUUCCGUAUAACUGAAAAAAAAACUUGCCAAACUGUGGUUUUUAAACUGUAUGUUUUCAUUUUAGUUGUUUUUAACUUUAUAAGCUUCUGGAAUAUUUUUCAAUUAAUGAUAUUAAGAUUCAUCCUUUACCUUGUGUGUAGUUCAUUUGGUUCACUUGCUGGAUAGAGUCUCUCAUGUGACUAUAACACAGUUAAUUAAUCAAUUUUUCCCAUUGCUUCUCUCAUUCUCUUCAGUGUAAUUAGGUAAGUGAUAGGUGGAUGCUGUCUUAUACAGAAUUAAAGCUUGACUAACAAGGUUGGCACUAUCCGUACCCCCCCCCCACCCAUGCUUGCUGUGUUUCCUGCCAGACCUUUUUCUAUUCAUUUAUAUCCAUAUGUAAUAUAAAAAAACUGUGUAGGUGGGAAAAUACUGUUUUAUGCCAUGUAUCAUUAUUGACUUGCUUUUUUCGUUUAACAUAGGGAGAUUCACGUGGGCAUGUGUAGAGCUGCUGUCAUUGUAUGAAGCUGCUGCGGCGUAGUCCUUCACUUGGAAUUUCCAUGAAUUAUUUAGCUGUUCUAUUCUAAUGGAUAUUUACACUAUUUCCAGUCCUUUCGGAUGCUGUAUGGUCAUGCACACCCCUUGUGCACACACAUGAGUGUUACCCAGGGUCUGUACCAAGAAGUGGAAUUGCUGGGUCAUAGGACGUGGGUAAGGCAUUUUACUCAAUUCUGCCCUCUUGUCUUCCAGAGCAGGUGUACAAAUUUGCACGCCUGAGUAUGAGAGUAUCUGUUCGUCCAUAUCGUCUUCGACGCUUAGUAUAGCAAGCACUUAAAUUUCUGCCAGUUGCCAUCUUUGAUCUGUCAUAUGUUCACAGUGACCCUCUGAGACUUUAAUGCAUCUGUGGGUUUAACAUUUGUGGCCUUAAAACUGAUAGGGGCGCCAGAGUCCAAGGCACAUAAUCAUUUAUAAUUUUAUUGGUAUAAUUUUUUUAAAUUACUCAUGUCAUUGAGGCUACUGUUGAUGCCCAGCCAAAACACUCUAGGUCCAUGUCACCCUGGCUUUGUUUUCUGUUUGUCUCUGCAUUGAAGCAACUCUCAAAGGGAUCGAAAGUUUGCAGAUUUAGGUAAAGUUUAUGGCUAACAUUACUAUACUAUGUACUGUUGUAAUGGAUGGGACUGUGGAGUGUACAUUUGUGGCAGAAUUUAUUUUUAAUCCCUUUAUAAAUGACUAGUCUUGCAUUUAAAAUUUAAACACUGCAGAAAAACACAAUGUAGAAGGUAAGAGUUUCUCUAUAGUUCUCCCAAGAUAAUAAUGGCAACUUCAUUUAUGUUCCUUCAGAUAGUUUCCCUCUGUGGACAUACUGCAGAUUUAUCCUAUUAUCUACUAUAAAAUGGAAACAUACAACAUGUACUGCUCUGCAACACUUCAUUAUUUUCAUGGCUUCAUAAUACUUAAUCUUGUGCAUGUUGGUGUAGUUAUUUUAAGCAUUUUCCUGAUGAAAGGCUUUUAAGCUUAUUUGUAGGGUUUUCUGACCAUUGCAGACAGAGCUUCUUGUAAAUUCCUCUUCGUACAUGUGUCUGCACGCCCUCGGAUCACAGUGCCUGAAGGAAGCCUGAGCUUUGCACCUGCUCCAGUACAGUGGGCAGCUCUGCCUCUCUUGGUGCUAUCUGGGUCUGGUGCUCUCAGUCUUGUGAGGUGGGCUGAGAGUUUCUGCUGCCAAGGUAGGAUAAUCCUGGCCUUCUCCUGGUGUGCUGUGGAAUUCAGUUAAAAUGAUUGCUGAAACCACUUGUCCAUAUCAGAUUUUAGCAUGAGACAGUGUCUGACUUAUUUAGUGCAAAACAGGGAUGGAUUUAACAAGCCUCGGGGUCUGCUGCCUACUGUUCCCUCCUGAAGCAGGUUGAAAAAUGAACUCUUCUAGGAAAGUAGUUGUGACAUUUGCAAAAAGUAGCAUUUAAUUAUCUUACUUGUUUGUUAGUUUGUUUGGUCUGUUAAUCUUCCCUGGCAUCUGUCUGUAGGCAUCUCUAGGCUAAAGGAGUACAUCCAGGUGGCGGCGCAGUCUGCUCCCUCGUCCACCUGCUCAGCACAACCUUGUCUGCUUUCUGGUUUGAAUAUAUGCUCCCUCUCUCCCCUAAGAGGCCACUAAAUGCCAGGAGCACAGGUAUGAACCACUCUGUCUCUCUCCUUGUGGGGUCACAAGGAGCUUAAUGUUGGGAACUGCAAGGCCCGAGAUCUGUCCCAGCAGCCUUAUUCUCUCCCCUCAGCCUCUAAGUGAUCCAUGCAUUGUCCCUCUUACUCUUCUGUCACUGUGGCAACUGUGUGACCUGCCGUCUGUAUGUCAGAGCAAGGCCCUGCCUCUGUCUAUGCUGACCCCAGAGGCAAAGGCUCUUCUAAUUUGUUUAACUUAAAGGUAUGAAAAAUGUUCAAAGUAAUACCUGGGCAUGUGAAAAUUCAAACCCUAUAGGAGAUACAGUGAUGUCUUUCUCUAACCCCUGGCCUGGCCUCCCUUCCUACAUUGGCAGCUGCUGUGACCACUUAGUUGCUGAAGUUUCUUUCCGGAGAAUUCUGUGCAUGUGUUUUGCUAUAGAGGCCCUGGUUUGCCACAUGCUGUCUUGCACUUUGGGUUCAGUGAACGGCACGUCAAGGAGCUCACCGUGUAUCCGUAUUCAUGGUCUGCCUUGGGCUCUUCGAUGCCUGUGUGGUAGCCUGUUUUAAUUAUCCAUUCCCCUUUUGAGGAACAAAUGGCUUGUUUCUAGCAAUAUUUACUGUAUAUAGGGCUGUACUGAGUAUCUGUCCGCGUGUGUUUAUGUACGUGGCAACAAUGUCUGUGGGGAACGUGUCCUUUCAGGGGAUUUCUGGGCCACUGCCUUUCUAAACACGAUGGAGCCACCAGCUUGUGGCUGUUCUGGUUUCCCUACACUUUUCCCAACACUGUUUUUUAUCUUGGUUAUUUGUCAAUGUGAGAAGUGAAAAUAGUAUUUCACUGUAGUUUUGACUUGUAUUUCUAUUGGGAUUUUAAGAGCUCAUUAAAUAUUAAAGAAGUUAACCCUUUUUCAAUUGUGCUGCAAAUAGUUUGUCACUGAUCUUUAAGUUGUAUGCCAAAAUUUUGCUAUUCAGAGUUUUAAAUAUAUUUAUACUUAUUUAUCAAUAUUUCUUACGGCCUCUGGAUUUUAUGAGUAGUUCAGAAAGGCUAAUCUAGCUCAAGAUUAUUUUCUGUUAGUCCCCAUGUUUUGCCUAAUUAUUUUAAGGCUUUAGUUUAAUUUGAACCUUGGCUCUAUCUGGACUUAAUUUCAUCAUAAUGAGUGACUUAGGUACAGUUAGCCUGUUGUCCCUACACCAUUUACUGAUGACUACAUCUGUUCCCCAUUUAUCUAUCUAUUCAUGUGCCAGUGCCAGUUUUAAAUACUGUAGUUUUGUGCUUUUUCUGUAUGGUAGGGACAGCCCUACCUCAUUAUUUCACUUUCCUGAAUUUUCCUGGCUAUUCUUGCAUGUUUACUUUUCCUUCCUUGUGGUGUUUUCAUACUGUUGUCUUCCUGUGCAAGGAUGAGGUAUGCCCCCGUUUACUCACGGGUGUUUAAAUUUAGCUCUCUGGGAUGUGGAAAGCUGUGGUCAGUUAGGCUAGUCUUGGUCUGACUGCAAUUACUUCAUUAUUUUCAUGGCUCCGUUUUGGUCUUGCAUGUGUUCAUAUAGUUAUGUUAACCAUUCUCUUGUUAAUGUGUGUCUGGGUGUCCUAACCUGCCUCCUGAGAGCCCCCCACACCCAUCCUAAUGACCACCCUCAUCACAGAGCACUUUUGUAUUUUUCUCUGUGCCUAAUAGUUACUUUUCACCUUCUAACUGACAGUGUCCAGUUCAGUGGGCUUUAUAGAUGAAAUGCUCCGAAACACACUGUCUUGCUAAAAAUUCCAAUAUGUUUAUGCAAACCCAGCAUGGAGAAUGAAUUGUGCAUAUUCUAAGAGGUCACAUUCUAGGAGAGUUUGGCUGGGAGGGUUUGUGUUCUGAACCUCUGCCCUGUGUGGCUGACUGCUGUCCCUGGGAAGUUCUGUGUACCUGGAAUGUCUGGACAGAAUCCUAUUCUGAUAACCAGCACCUGACCCCUCUGCUCAACCCCUGAACCACCUUUUCCUUCUGUGUAACAUAAACACCCGAUGGACUGUUUAUAAAAUGUCCUGCAUGCUUUCCUGCCUUAUCAAAGAGAUUACUGUUUCUUCGAUUUCUCAAGGCCACCAUCGUGUACAUGUAGUCCUGCCUGGCACACAGCAGUUCCUUCAGGGGCUGCUGUCACUUCCUUCGGGUGGGCCCACCCCUCCUUUGCUGGGUUCAUGGUGUCUGUAGUAGAAGAACUGAAGGUGCCUGGAGGCAAGACAGCCGAGCCUUCCUUCAGUUAAUUUACUGGUGCGCCCUUGAGUCAGCAGUGGCCUGCGUCUCUUCAGAAAUCAUGUGUGUGGGCUUGUUUUGCAACCAAGCACGAUUCUGUUUUCUGAUUAUGAUUUUUUCUGGCUUAUUGUUGAGAUAUGGGCGGAUACUUUUCUCUGUUUUGUAAGACAUUAGAAAUGUCUUAGAAACAAAUGUCUUAGCACAAAUCUGAUCGUUUCCUUAAGGGAAUUUCUUAGCAGUGACAUUACUGGCUGAGAGGGCAUGGUCAGAGUGAAGGCUUUUGACUCAUGUUGCCGAGUACCUUCUGAAAGGCCAAACACAGCUCAGCCUGGCCCUGGCCCUUUUUGUUUUUAUCUUGGCUGAUUGGAGGUUUAAGCAGUGUCUCAGUGUUUUAAUGUGCACGUUUUGACUCUGUAAAGCUGAGUGUUCACUUCCUGUGUGUGUUUGCUGAUCUGUGCAUCUGCUCUGUGCUUCGCUUCUAUUUUUGUUGCCCCCUGAGAAGUCUUUUUUCUGUUGAGGACAUUUGCUUUUGGUUAUUACACAGUGUUUUUCAAUCUUGUAGUUUGCCUUUUAAAUUUACAUGUUGAAUCUUGCUGAUGGUUUUAGGUUUUGUAAUCAGACCUAUCUAAUUUUAUUAUUAGUGUUAUGUACUUUGGUGUUAUGCUGUAUUUUCCUCUGGUUCAUUUGUGGUUUCCUUUUUGACAUUUAACUCUUUAUUCCGGCUAGAAGUUGUUUUGGUGUACAGUAUUAGGUAAGAAUCUAAUUUAGUUUUUUCAGAAUGGUUCACCAAUUUUCCCAACACCUUUACUGAAUAAUUCUACUUUGUCUACUGAUUUGAAGUCCCACUUGUUAAUUAUGGGCUAAAUACUUUGAGUCUGUUUCUGAACCUUCCAGUCUGUUCCACUGAUCUGUCUUUCCCUGUGCCAACCCAAUGUUUUAAGUAUUUUAGCUUUGUAAUAUCUGAUUUUAAUAUAUGGUAAUACAGGCCCCUGUCAUUCUUUUUUAAAGUAUUUGGGUUUUUAUUGGAAUUGAAUUACAUUUAUAAAUAUGUUAUUGUGACUUCCCAUUUUGGAACUGGUCUCCCUGUUCAUUCAGGGUAGAUGAUUUUCAUGUCCCUCGGGAAUUUUAGACUGCAUACAAGUUAUGCACAUUUACGAAGUUUGUUCCUAGAAAUGUUCAGUUCUGUAUUGUGGUUGGAUAUGUUUUUCUAUUAAAAUUUCUAAUUAUGGUAGUAUAUGGUAAGACUUAUUUUAUAUAUGUAUUUUAUAAAUAAAUAUGCUGAACUUCAGUACUAGAGGCAAUUGGGAGGUAAUAUAGCCUCUUGGCUAAAAGUGUAGGCUUUCUAGUCAAAUGAUUAUGCUCUCAAAAUGAACCCGCCUUUUAUUUCCAUGUGACCAGUUCUCUGCCUCGGUUUCCCCAUGUGUAAGGGGGGAUAAUCGUAUUAUCUCCUAAGAAGAGGGAUGAGGUUGAUCAAAUAAUGUGAAAGCAUUGUGCGUGGUGCCCUCCUGACAUGGAGUGAGCACUGUUCUCUUGGGGUUUCCAAGUAACCAACAGUCAUCCUUCGUGAUCCAUGUGAUUUGUCCCACUUUUCAUGCUUCUCUCCGGUCAUAUUGGCACUGGCUGUAAUUACCAGCGAGCUGUGAGCAUCAUGGUCUUGUUCCCGUCUGACCCUUUAGUGCCAUCUGUCAGCACAGGAGGAGGAAGGUGAGGCUGGGCCCUGGGAGGUGCACAUAAGCCCACAGCAGCCCACAUCACAUCUCCCAAAAGGGGUGAUUGUCCUGCCUGUGGUCCUCAAGACAAGGUGGGUGAUCUGCUGAUAUGCAUUUUAAACUUUAAUAUUUAUGUAUUUAUUUUAACACAUAUUUAAAAAUCCCUGGUUUUCUGUUUGUGGUGGUAAUGCAAAGUUUCAUUUUAAAAUAGAUUUAUUUUUCCUUUUUUUAAUUGAAAUAUCAUUCAUGAUACCAUAGAAUUCAUCCUUUUUGAAGUGUACAAUUCAGUGUGUUUUAGUAUAUUCACAUUGUGUACAUGCACUAAUACCCCAUUUCCAUUAUCCAUUCCAGAACUUUUUCUCCAUCCCAAACAAACUCUACUGAUUAAACUUCCCAUCCUUACCCAACCUGUCACCUUUGUUAUACUUUCCAUCUCUAUGAAUUUGUCUAUUUUGGUACCUCAUGUAAGAGGAAUCAUAUUAUAUUUAUGCUUUUGUUGUGUUCACCUUAGUUCAUUUAGCAUAAUGUUUUCAAGAUUCAUCCAUGUUGUGGCAUGUAGCAAGACUUUGUUUCUUUUUAUGGCUGAAUAAUAUACCAUUGUAUGGAUAUACCGUAUUUAUCCAUUUAUCGGUUGGACGUUUGGGCUGUUUCCACUAUUUUGGCCAUUAGGAGUAAUGCGUCUGUGAACAUUUCUGUGCAAGUUCUAGUGCAAGCACAAGUAUUAAAUUAUCUUUGGUACAUACCUGGGAGUGGAAUUGCUGGGUCAUAGAACAACUCUGUUUAACUUUUUGAGGAACUGCCAAAGUGUUUCCCAAUAUAAUUGUACCAUUUUACAUUCCCAAAAGUAAUUUAUGAGGGUUCCAGUUUCUCCAUAUUCUCAACAAAGCUUGUUCUGACUUUUUGGUUCUAGCCAUUCUAGUGAGCAUGGGGGUAGUAUCUCAUAUGAUUCUGAUUUGCCGUUCUCUGAUGACUAAUGAUGUCAAGCCCCUUUUUAUGUGCUUGUUGGCCAUGUGUAUAUCUUCUUUGUGGAGAAGUGUCUAUAACUGAUUUUUGCCCACUUUUUAUUGGGUGUUUGUCUUCUCAUUAUUGUGUUGUAAGAGUUCUUUAUAUAUUCUGGAUACUAUACCCUUAUCAGAUACAUGAUUUGCUGAUAUUUUAAAAGUGAGUUGAUUUAAGGGGAAAAAAUAGGACUUCUAUACUCAGAUGUGGCAAAAAAAAAAAAUCUCAAAGUGUUGUGUGAACUAAGGUUUGGGAGGGUGGCCCCAAUGAGACCACAGGGGUUUGGAGGCAGAGAAUAGGGUGCGGACCUUAAAUGUGAAAUGGGUGAGGAGUGCUGCUCUGCUGCAUCCCUUCGUCUGUGAUAUCAGCUGGCAUCGCCGCCAGACGUGCAGGGAACAUUUGUUAUUUCAGUGCUUGGAAGUUUCUGAUUUAUUUUUUAAAUCAGUAAUAGAUAAUGGAUUUAUUAAAAUGUCUCUCCUGAAUCUUUUGAGAUGAGCAUCAGGUUUUUCUCCUUUCAUCUUAUAAUGACUAAUUGUAUUAAUGGAAUAUUAAGCCCUCCUGUGACUUCUGAAACAAACCAUUCCAGGCCUGGAGCUUUAUUUUGUCCACAGAAAUGAACCCAGAGAGUCCACUUUGACUCAGAGCACUGCCAGGCAGGUUUUGGUGUCAGGAUUUCAGGAAAGGCAGAGUCACAGUCUAGAGCAGUGACCGAGAGCACAACUCUGACAACUAGUCUCUGUUCCCUGCUUGCCUGCUUAAUAGCACAUAACUUUGGCCACAUUUCUUAAAUUCUUGAAGCCAGUUUCCUCACUGGUAAAAUGGGGACAAAAAUAGUGCUAGAACAUAUCUCUCUGUCUUGUGACCCUGAAGUGAGGUGGUGUGGUGCAGGGGCUGCGAGCGAGUGAGGGGCACCGCUGUCUUCUGCCCCUCUUGUGGCAGGAACACGUUGUGACAGAACGUUCCCAACCUUCCUGCACAGAUUGCACAGCAUGGAGUGCCAUGUAACACCGUGUGUGGCUGCCGCUUCUUUCUGGAGCUUCAGUAGUUCUUUGAAAAUUUGUUCAAUUUCUUCCUGAGUCAACUGGGGUAGUCAAUAUGUCUCUUUCAUCAUAAAUUAAUUUUUCAAGUAUGUUUUCUCAGAAAAUUACGUUGUUCUUAUGUAUUAGUGUCAAAUGUCUUUUUACAUUUUAACAUCCUCCUUAUGAGUAGUUUUAUCACUUUGUUCUUAUUCCCAGAUUUUCUUCCUCUGGAAUAGCCUUUCAAGAAUUCUAUUUUAUUGGCCUUUUCAAAGAAAUAGCUUUAGAUAAAAUAAGUAGUUGUAUUGCUUUCAUUUUGUAAUUCAUUAAUUCCUACUCUCAUUUCCUUCUUUGCUCCAGCUCUCCUUGGAUUUUUAUUCUGGAGUCUUGCAUUGCAUGCUUAAUUCAUUCAUGUUCAAACUCCCGAACUUGUAACAGUGGAAAGAGGAGGUGGAGUGUGGUCCUGGAGGUGCAGGCAGCGAGGCAGUCCUGCUCCAGCCCCGCCGUGCCGUCACCUCUUUGACCUUAGACAGGGUCUCAGCUGCUGAGGUGUGGAGCCUGUCUAAGGGGAGGCUACUGAUGCCACCCAGGAGGAUGGACGGGUGUCUGUUGGUGGCCAGGACCCAGCAGGCAUGUGGAGGGUGGUGAGCAAAGAGAAGCAGUGAACUGCUGUUGCCUCACCCCAGAGUUUCCAUUUCUAACGCUCACUCCGGCAGCACCUCCAUGGCUGGACCCUGAGCUGGCCCUUGUGGACACAGGCAAACGAGCUGACUGGUCCUGUCUUCAUGGUGCCCCCAUUCUCACGGGGACAGGCCUCAGAGGGUGGUUUUACACAUCAUGAGUGAGUGCAGUUUCGGGAACAGCCCUGUGGAGUGGCGUGCAGCCCGAGAGUGAAGACGAAGGCCCUGACACAGGGGAGCGGACCUUUGAGUUCUCACUUGCAGGGUGGGAGGAGCUGGAGGAAGAGCAUUCCCAGCUGAGAGAAGGGUUUGAGCAAAGCGUCUGAGCCGUGAAGGGGACUGGCUGGAGCCAAGAGCAUGGAAGGCGGGGCUGGUGGGACCACCAUGAGGAUUCAGGAUGGGAUCCCGGGCACCCAAAGGCCUCCAUACUGUGUUUGGGAAAGAGCUUAUUUCCUAUAUGCUUGGUGGUUUCAAUUCUAAUGUAUAAUUUGACCCUAGUUAUUUUAAAGUAUACUUUAAAAUGUCCAAUCAUUGGGAAAUUUUUAUUUUUUUAGCUAUGUAAUCAAUUUCUGGUUUACUGAAUGGUUACUUGAAGAAGUGACCCAUACAGUUACUGCUUUUUUGACUCUAUGGCUCCCUUACUUCAUUGCUUGAAGUAUGAUUAUAUCUAUGAAUGUUCCAUGGCAGUCAGAAGAUAUUCUCUGUCACGUUCUAAAUUCUAAAUAAGUCCCACCACUUGUUUUUUUGGUCCAGUUCAAAUCCACUACAUUCUUUUGUAAUGAGAAGUGUGAUUACAUUCUUAUCACCCCUCUGGUUCUCUCCCCUUCCCCCGAGACGGCUUAUCAGUUUUGUUCUAUGUGUGUUGCUGCAGUGCUAUUGGAACAUCAAGAUUCCUCCUGUGUGGAGUGCUUUCUGCCUGGAAUUCACUUUGUCUGACGUAGACAGGGCAGACCUGCAUCCCAGCCCACCCCCAGCGUGGCUGCUGUCUUGUUUGCAUUUGACUGAAGUCAGUUAUUUUCAGGUUAUUUUCAACUGAAAUUUGAAGCUAUUUUUACGUCUUUUCUGCUUUCUGCCCACGUAUGUGUGUUUAUUUUACAGGGUUGCAACUGGUAGUUAUUUUGCUUUUUCCACUUCAGGUUGUGUCGUGGGCACAGUUACCUUGAUGAAAUCAUGCACUGUCAUGGUUGCAGCCCUCUGGGACAUUGCAGGGUGUGAGCCAGUCACUGCUGCCUUGUGGGCCGCUGUAGCAGCUGGGCCAGCAUUCUGUGAUGAUGAGUCACCCUGUCGCAGACGUCUUUGGGCAAAUCCUCUGUACACCUCAUGGCUGCUUUUGGUUUGCAUUCCCCACUGGCCAAAGAGAAGGGGCAGUUGCCUGGUUCUCCUUGCUUACUGCCCUGUGCCCUCCAGAUGGUUCUAAGGGGCUAGUUGCACACUUAUAUUUGCUCAUUGACUAUGAGUGUGUGGUGGGGUUUUUUUUUUUUUUUUUUUUUGGAAGUCAUUUUAAUUUGUACCCUUUUAGCUAGUGACAUAGUUCCCUAUGUAGAUCGCUCUCUGGGUUUCUUCAAGUACAGACAGUGAGGGCCUUGUCACUAACAUGUUGAACUAACUCUUUGCUCAUCUUACAGAGUGUGUUUUGACUACCCCUAUUUCUGAGGCCUUUUAAGGCCAGAGGUUUGUUGCUUCACCGUCAGGUUGGGACUUAGAUGGCCGUGCACGUUCCUCUCUCCUGCUGCAAUAAAUUGGGUGGACGAUCCAGUUCACAGGCUGGCCUGGUGUUCUGCAUGACCCUGAGCAAGUGUCAGGCCUCUCUGAGCCUCGGCUUCUCAUCUGGACCUUGCUAGAGAGGGGCUUCGGAGCUCCUCAGGACUGACAGGAGGGGUCCCGGGAUGAGAGGCCCGGACAGGACUCCCGGACGAGGACAACAGAGCUCAUAGGAGGAGGAAGUGCACCCACUGGACCCGCCGUGGGCCCAGGGGAGGCAGAGACUGGGCUGGGAGGGUGGCGUGGGGGUAGGUCCUGGCCAGGGUCCAGCAUGAGCUUAUUGUAUCUAUGGGGCCCUGGUGACUCGGACCCGUCCUCCCGGGAACUCAUACUCAACGUGAGAAUCCAGUGAGAGGAGAUGCUGGUGGGGGCCCUGUGCUUCCGACUUCGUUUACAAGCAAUGGCAGUCCCAGGAAGGAUUCCACAGCUGAUGAUGGCUGAGAUCGGAGGACAGCAGUCGAGGCAGGUGGGCACUUCUAUGUGGCCCCAUGAGGCCGGGGCACAGCAGACCUGGAGGGUUGGCAUUUGGGCUAGGCCAGAGUGCUCAGAGUUUCCCCCAGUUCCCAGAUUUCCUAUUCUGAUGAAAAACUUAAGAUUCUUGCCUCUAAUUAUAAAAGUACCCUGCCUGAAGUUAAGAAUUCAAGCCAGAGAAAAGGUAUAAAAUGAAUAUAAAAUUCCUUUCCCUUCACCAAUUCUAGCCCUACUACACAGAGGUGGCCUCCAGUUUCUUAGAAUCUUGGCAAUUUCUGUACACACACAAAUCUUGUCACUGCUGACACUGUCCUGGAACCAGCAGGGCUGUAACUUGUGGUUCAGUCUGCCAGUCUGAUUUCUUGUGCUCCUGCAGCCGUGUGUACAGCCAGCAGGAACAGGGAAACACGUGGCCGUGAGGCUGAGGGGCCGUGUGUCCCCCAGCUGUGCCUUGAAAGGGGUGUCAGGAGAGGAAGGCAUGAGCCUGGGGGUUGGGAGGUGCGGAGCCGCCGCAGGUGUUUCUUUUCCUGGACGCAGCUCAUGGCCGUGUCCAGGUUUUGCUUUUCACCUUUGAGUCUGUGAGAAAAUGAGCAGGAAAAAGCAAAA